CCUACGGGAGGCAGCAGUGGGGAAUAUUGGACAAUGGGGGGAACCCUGAUCCAGCGACGCCGCGUGAGUGAAGAAGUAUUUCGGUAUGUAAAGCUCUAUCAGCAGGGAAGAAAGAAAUGACGGUACCUGACUACGAAGCCCCGGCUAACUACGUGCCAGCAGCCGCGGUAAUACGUAGGGGGCAAGCGUUAUCCGGAUUUACUGGGUGUAAAGGGAGCGUAGACGGCGAUGCAAGUCUGAAGUGAAAGGCGGGGGCCCAACCCCCGGACUGCUUUGGAAACUGUAUGGCUGGAGUGCAGGAGAGGUAAGUGGAAUGCCUAGUGUAGCGGUGAAAUGCGUAGAUAUUAGGAGGAACACCAGUGGCGAAGGCGGCUUACUGGACUGUAACUGACGUUGAGGCUCGAAAGCGUGGGGAGCAAACAGGAUUAGAUACCCCUGUAGUC
rnacentral:rRNA from 1 species